rnacentral:tRNA from 1 species
GGGGAAGUAGCUCAGUGGCACAGUGCUUGCCUUGCAUGCAUGAAGCCCUGGGUUCCAUUCCCAGUAUCUGCU